UUAUUAUUGUUUUGUGGAAUAAGUAAUAUUGUGUAUUUAAAUUCAGAGAACUUGUGGUUAGUGCGAACAAGCAUUUAAACAUAAUAUGAAUCUACCCACGUUAAGAUGAACAAUCGGUUUAACCGUUAUUUUAGUGAGAGUGCAGUCUAAUUUUAGACUGUUAAAUAGGGUGGCAACGCGUCGUACCACGUCCCUUGU
rnacentral:ncRNA from 1 species